rnacentral:rRNA from 1 species
AUUAGAGUUUGACCUGGCUCAGGAUGAACGCUGGCGGUAUGCUUAACACAUGCAAGUCGAACGGAACUUUUCGGAGUUCAGUGGCGGACGGGUGAGUAACGCGUGAGAAUCUGGCUUCAGGUUCGGGACAACAGCGGGAAACUGCUGCUAAUACCGGAUGUGCAGAAAUGUGAAAGAUUAAUUGCCUGAAGAUGAGCUCGCGUCUGAUUAGCUAGUUGGUGGGGUAAGAGCCUACCAAGGCGACGAUCAGUAACUGGUCUGAGAGGAUGACCAGUCACACUGGGACUGAGACACGGCCCAGACUCCUACGGGAGGCAGCAGUGGGGAAUUUUCCGCAAUGGGCGAAAGCCUGACGGAGCAAUACCGCGUGAGGGAGGAAGGCUCUUGGGUUGUAAACCUCUUUUCUCAGGGAAGAACAAAAUGACGGUACCUGAGGAAUAAGCAUCGGCUAACUCCGUGCCAGCAGCCGCGGUAAUACGGAGGAUGCAAGCGUUAUCCGGAAUUAUUGGGCGUAAAGCGUCCGCAGGUGGCAAUUCAAGUCUGCUGUUAAAGGUUCUGGCUCAACCAGAAACAGGCAGUGGAAACUGAACAGCUAGAGUGCGGUAGGGGCAGAGGGAAUUCCCAGUGUAGCGGUGAAAUGCGUAGAGAUUGGGAAGAACACCGGUGGCGAAAGCGCUCUGCUAGACCGUAACUGACACUCAUGGACGAAAGCUAGGGGAGCGAAUGGGAUUAGAUACCCCAGUAGUCCUAGCCGUAAACGAUGGAUACUAGGCGUUGCGAGUAUCGACCCCAGCAGUAUCGUAGCUAACGCGUUAAGUAUCCCGCCUGGGGAGUACGCGCGCAAGCGUGAAACUCAAAGGAAUUGACGGGGGCCCGCACAAGCGGUGGAGUAUGUGGUUUAAUUCGAUGCAACGCGAAGAACCUUACCAGGACUUGACAUGUCGCGAAUUUCUGGGAGACCAGGAAGUGCCUUAGGGAGCGCGAACACAGGUGGUGCAUGGCUGUCGUCAGCUCGUGUCGUGAGAUGCUGGGUUAAGUCCCGCAACGAGCGCAACCCUCGUCCUUAGUUGCCAGCAUUCGGUUGGGCACUCUAGGGAGACUGCCGGUGACAAACCGGAGGAAGGUGGGGAUGACGUCAAGUCAGCAUGCCCCUUACGUCCUGGGCUACACACGUACUACAAUGCUACGGACAAAGGGCCGCAAGCUAGCGAUAGCAAGCAAAUCCCAGAAACCGUGGCUCAGUUCAGAUUGCAGGCUGCAACUCGCCUGCAUGAAGGCGGAAUCGCUAGUAAUCGCAGGUCAGCCAUACUGCGGUGAAUACGUUCCCGGGCCUUGUACACACCGCCCGUCACACCAUGGAAGCUGGUAGUGCCCGAAGUCGUUACCCUAACCGCAAGGAGGGGGAUGCCGAAGGCAGGACUGGUGGCUGGGGUGAAGUCGUAACAAGGUAACCAAU